CGGGUUGAAAGCUAGCCAAGCUCUGC
rnacentral:piRNA from 1 species